rnacentral:rRNA from 1 species
UACGUAGGGGGCUAGCGUUAUCCGGAAUUGCUGGGCGUAAAGGGUGCGUAGGUGGUUUCUUAAGUCAGAGGUGAAAGGCUACGGCUCAACCGUAGUAAGCCUUUGAAACUGGGGAACUUGAGUGCAGGAGAGGAGAGUGGAAUUCCUAGUGUAGCGGUGAAAUGCGUAGAUAUUAGGAGGAACACCAGUUGCGAAGGCGGCUCUCUGGACUGUAACUGACACUGAGGCACGAAAGCGUGGGGAGCAAACAGG